rnacentral:sRNA from 1 species
GCCGGGCACUGUGGAGCACACCUGUAAUCCCAGAGGCUCUGGAGGCAGAGGCAGGAGGAUCGCGAGUUCAAAGCCAGCCUCAGCAAUUUAGUGAGGCGCUAAGCAACUCAGUGAGACCCUGUCUCUA